UGAUUGGCGAAAUUCAAAGACCAGUGUAUCGUGGAGUUCCACUCCGGUUGCGCCUUCAGUAUCCUGUGAGUAAUAUCCGGCAGAUGCAGGAUGAUGUCUCCAAAGAGCGCGAUGUUCUCCAAGAUGCUAGACAAUGCUGCACCAAGUAAAGGAGAUUAGUCCAAAUGCGUACUUUGCGAAAUCUAGAUUUGAUUCCUUGGAUGAGUAAUCGUACCAUCUUUAAUGUUGGUAUCUUCCGGAAAGGAAUUGUUCUGCGGCAGAAAACCGGCCUUUUCGAUAACGCUCUUACUCGAUUCGAUGACCUCCACCACCUUCUCAGCCAACACCGAGAUCAUCUUGUAUAGACGCUCGUAAUUGUCCAUCUUUAGGAGUGUCUGCACAGCUUCUAUGUGGUCCUUCCGCCGUUGAGCAAAUAGUUUCUUGACUAUUGCAAAAAAGCGAGAGUAACGAAGUAAUAAAUAAUAAAGUAGCAAAUUAAAGAUUAAGAUAAAAUACGGGACAAAAUAUUUAUGGUAAAUAUUGAAAAUAUUUCGAGUAAAUAUUUAAGAUAAAAUAUUUAAAGAAUUACUGUACCAAUUGCUAAACAAUCACUAGUAAAUGAUUUUUUAACGAUAAGACAAAUAUUAAAAUAAUAAGACUUCAAAAUAA